rnacentral:rRNA from 1 species
CGGGGAAUCUUCCGCAAUGGGCGCAAGCCUGACGGAGCAACGCCGCGUGAGGGAAGAGCAGAAGACUGUACCUCUAGAAUAAGCCACGGCUAACUACGUGCCAGCAGCCGCGGUAAUACGUAGGUGGCAAGCGUUGUCCGGAUUUACUGGGUGUAAAGGGCGUGCAGCCGGGAAUGCAAGUCAGAUGUGAAAUCCAUGGGCUUAACCCAUGAACUGCAUUUGAAACUGUAUUUCUUGAGUACUGGAGAGGCAAUCGGAAUUCCUAGUGUAGCGGUGAAAUGCGUAGAUAUUAGGAGGAACACCAGUGGCGAAGGCGGAUUGCUGGACAGCAACUGACGGUGAGGCGCGAAAGCGUGGGGAGC